rnacentral:rRNA from 1 species
CCUACGGGAGGCAGCAGUGGGGGAUAUUGCACAAUGGGGGGAACCCUGAUGCAGCGACGCCGCGUGGGUGAAGGAGUGCUUCGGCAUGUAAAGCCCUAUCGGCAGGGAAGAAGCAAGACGGUACCUGACUAAGAAGCCCCGGCUAACUACGUGCCAGCAGCCGCGGUAAUACGUAGGGGGCGAGCGUUAUCCGGAUUUACUGGGUGUAAAGGGAGCGUAGACGGCGGUGCAAGCCAGAUGUGAAAGCCCGGGGCUCAACCCCGGGACUGAAUUUGGAACUGUGCUGCUAGAGGGUCGGAGAGGCAGGCGGAAUUCCUAGUGUAGCGGGGAAAGGCGUAGAUAUUAGGAGGAACACCAGUGGCGAAGGCGGCCUGCUGGACGAUGACUGACGUUGAGGCUCGAAAGCGUGGGGAGCAAACAGGAUUAGAUACCCCAGUAGUC